AUGGCAGCAAGUUCUAGCACGCAAGGACGACAGGGGAAGGAGACUGCAGAUGAGUUGUUGUCUCGGCUGAAUUUGCAGGAGGAGGAUGAUGAUGACUUCGUUUGGGAAGAAGAAUUGCCGGACUUGGGGGAGCCGGCGAAGUGGCUCGCUAUAGCCCGCGUGCAUACGCCGAAAUCUUUUAGCCCUAAUGCUCUGUAUGGGGACAUGCGAGCGGCAUGGAACCCCGCGAGGACUAUGGUGUGGAGGAAGAUCAAAGAUAACCUGUUCACAACCCAGUUUGGAUGUCUAGGAGAUUGGAACAAAGCAAUGUUGGAGGGACCCUAG
rnacentral:rRNA from 1 species